rnacentral:rRNA from 1 species
CCCCACUGCUAUCGGGGUGAGGCUAAGCAAUGCAAGUCGUGCGUCCCGGGCCAUGUCGGGGCGCGGCGUACGGCUCAGUAACACGUGGCUAACCUACCCUUGGGACGGGGACAACCCCGGGAAACUGGGGUUAAUCUCCGAUGGGUGAGGGGGCCUGGAAUGGUUCCUCGCCGAAAGGGCUCCGGGGACAUGCCUCCCGGCGUCGCCCAAGGAUGGGGCCGCGGCCGAUCAGGCUGUUGGUGAGGUAGCGGCCCACCAAACCUAUAACCGGUACGGGCCGUGGGAGCGGUAGCCCGGAGAUGGGCACUGAGAUAAGGGCCCAGGGUCUACGGACCGCAGCAUGCGCGAAACCUCCGCAAUGCGCGAAAGCGUGACGGGGUUACCCCGAGUGCCUUCCGCUGAGGAGGGCUUUUCCCCGGUGUAAUGAGCCGGGGGAAUAAGAGGAGGGCAAGACUGGUGUCAGCCGCCGCGGUAAGACCAGCUCCUCGAGUGGUGGGGAUGAUUAUUGGGCCUAAAGCGUCCGUGGCCGGCCUGGCAAGUCCUCCGUUAAAUCCGGCGGCCUAACCGUCGGGCCGCGGGGGAUACUGCGAGGCUAGGGGUCGGGAGAGGCCGACGGUAUUCUCGGGGUAGGAGUGGAAUCCUGUAAUCCCGGGAGGACCACCAGUGGCGAAGGCGGUCGGUUAGAACGAGCUCGACGGUGAGGGACGAAAGCUGGGGGAGCGAACCGGAUUAGAUACCCGGGUAGUCCCAGCCGUAAACGAUGCGGGCUAGGUGUCGGGGCGGUUACGAACCGCCUCGGUGCCGCAGGGAAGCCGUUAAGCCCGCCGCCUGGGAAGUACGGCCGCAAGGCUGAAACUUAAAGGAAUUGGCGGGGGAGCACAACAAGGCGUGAAGCUUGCGGUUC